rnacentral:rRNA from 1 species
UACGUAGGGGGCGAGCGUUGUCCGGAUUUAUUGGGCGUAAAGAGCGUGUAGGCGGCCAGGUAGGUCUGCUGUGAAAACUCGAGGCUCAACCUCGAGACGUCGGCGGAAACCAUCUGGCUAGAGUCCGGAAGAGGAGAGUGGAAUUCCUGGUGUAGCGGUGAAAUGCGCAGAUAUCAGGAAGAACACCCGUGGCGAAGGCGGCUCUCUGGACCAUAACUGACACUGAGGCACGAAAGCCGGGGGAGCAAACAGG